rnacentral:rRNA from 1 species
UACAGAGGGGGCAAGCGUUGUUCGGAAUUACUGGGCGUAAAGGGCGCGUAGGCGGCCUUCUAAGUCGAACGUGAAAUCCCCGGGCUCAACCCGGGAACUGCGUCCGAUACUGGAAGGCUAGAAUCCGGGAGAGGGAUGCGGAAUUCCAGGUGUAGCGGUGAAAUGCGUAGAUAUCUGGAGGAACACCGGUGGCGAAGGCGGCAUCCUGGACCGGCAUUGACGCUGAGGCGCGAAAGCCAGGGGAGCAAACGGG